rnacentral:rRNA from 1 species
UACGGAGGGGGCUAGCGUUGUUCGGGAUUACUGGGCGUAAAGCGCACGUAGGCGGCUUUGUAAGUUAGAGGUGAAAGCCCGGGGCUCAACCCCGGAACUGCCUUUAAGACUGCAUCGCUUGAAUCCAGGAGAGGUGAGUGGAAUUCCGAGUGUAGAGGUGAAAUUCGUAGAUAUUCGGAAGAACACCAGUGGCGAAGGCGGCUCACUGGCCUGGUAUUGACGCUGAGGUGCGAAAGCGUGGGGAACAAACAGG